rnacentral:rRNA from 1 species
AUGGGGCUGUACUACUGCGGCCUGCGGGCCACCAGCGCCGCCUACGCCGUCAACUUCCUCUACCUCAUCCCCAUCGCUACCUUCAUCAUCGCCGUUGCGCUCCGAGCCGAGCGCCUCUCCCUCGUCGCUUGGGCCAGUAGGAUGAAGCUCCUCGGAGCUGUCGUGGGCGUGGCCGGCACCAUGGUCGUCACCCUCUGCAAGGGCACCCAUCUCCUGCUGCCGCACCUCCGGCAGUCCUCCCACGCCAACCCCGACGUCGCCUCGCCCCACGGCGGCCGCGACAUGGCCGUCGGCACGCUGUUCCUGUACGGGAGCUGCGUCAGCUACGCGCUCUGGUUCGUCGUGCAGGCCAAGGUCACCAAGGUGUUCCCGUCCCGGUACUGGGCCACGGCGCUCACGUGCGCCGCGGGCAGCCUGCAGUCUGCCGUGGCCGCGGCCAUGGCGGUCGUCCUCGCCCCUGCCGGCGACGGACAUGGAUGGGCGCGCACGUGGACGCUGCGCUGGGACCUGCAGCUGGCCACGGUGGUCUACUCCGGGGUGUUCAACACAGGCGUCACGUUCGUGCUCGUGUCGUGGGCGGUGGAGCGCCGCGGCCCGGUGUACCCUCCCAUGUUCAACUCCCUGUCGCUCGUCGCCACCACCGCCGUCGACGCCGUCAUGCUCGGAACCGACGUCUACCUCGGCGGCGUGAUGGGAGCGGCGCUCGUCGUCGUCGGCCUCUAUGCGUUUCUGUGGGGCAAAAGCAAGGAGCUCGCGGCCGCCAAAGCGGUCAACGCCGAGCAGGAGCUGCGGUGUGCAGGAGACACCGACGAUGGCAUUGCCUAG